GGUCGCUUAGCUCAGUUGGUUAGAGCGUGGUGCUAAUAACGCCAAGGUCGCAGGUUCGACCCCUGCAGUGAUCA
rnacentral:tRNA from 2 species